UUGCAGCCCUGCCUGAGUGAAAAUCCUUUUUUGCGAAGAAUUCGAUUUCUAUUGAACUGGAAAUCAUCUGCAAAAAAGAUUGAGAACGGAGGACGGAUAAAGC
rnacentral:misc_RNA from 1 species